CCUACGGGCGGCAGCAGUGGGGAAUAUUGGGCAAUGGGCGCAAGCCUGACCCAGCAACGCCGCGUGAAGGAAGAAGGCUUUCGGGUUGAAAACUUCUUGUAAGAGGGAAGAGCAGAAGACGGUACCUCGUGAAUAAGCCACGGCUAACGACGUGCCAGCAGCCGCGGUAAUACGGAGGGGGCAAGCGUUGUCCGGAGUUACUGGGUGGAAAGGGCGUGCAGCCGGGAAGACAAGUCAGAUGGGAAAUCCCGCGGCGCAACCGCGGAACUGCAUUUGAAACUGGUUUUCUUGCGUACCGGAGAGGUCAUCGGAAUUCCUUGUGUAGCGGUGAAAUUCGUAGAUAUCAGGCAGAACACCAGUGGCGCAGGCGGCUGACUGGACGGCAACUGACGGUGAGGCGCGAAAGCGUGGGGAGCAAACAGGAUUAGAUACCCGGGUAGUC
rnacentral:rRNA from 1 species